GGCAGUGUCGUCUAAUGGGUAGGGCACUGGACCAAGACUCAGGAGACCUUGGUUCUAUUCCUUGCUCUGCCA
rnacentral:tRNA from 1 species